AGAGAAAGAGAGAAAGAGAGAAAGAGAGAGAGAGAGAGAGAGAGAGAGAGAGAGAGAGAGAGAGAGAAAAUUACAUGACUUCAUGCUUGUUUCCUUCUUUGAGGAAAAUAAUAGUUAUAAAAUAAAAUAUUACCAACUAUUUUAAAAAGAUGUAACGUAUUCAAUAAAAUUUAGUUGCAUAUAUUAUUCGUUAUAAUAUGUCCUAUUCUAUCUCUUCUAUUUUUCCUCAGAAAUCUUAAUAAACAUUGUAUAUCAGAUUGUUUACAAAAAAAAAAAAAAAAAAAAAAAAAAAAAAAAAAAAAAAAAAAAAAAAAAAAAAAAACGAGCACAUACUCAGGCACAUAUUAAAUACACUGCCAUACACAUGCACAUGCAAGAUAUUUACACUCACAACUACAUAUAAACAUGAAGGUAAAUGUAAACAUUCGAACACAACCACACAAACAUAUAUAUUUACAGACAUAUAAGCAUAAGCAUGCACAUAAACAUCAACAUAAACAAACAACAAAACAACACAAGCGAACAUAAGAAAACACACACACACACACACACACACACACACACACACACACACACACACACACACACACACACACACACACACACACACAAAACAACAAAAAGACUAAUAAAACAUACAAACAACAAACACGCACACAAACAACCACAUACAAAUACAAACUUACAAACAGACAUCAACAGAGGAUCAAGAGUAAGAACAGAAAUGAUGACACAUGCAAAUGAUGUGAUGAUAUUAUGUAAUCAAGAUAAAUAAUCGCCAUAUUGCCAUCCUUAAAAAAAAUACACACCUUUAACUCACGUACAAGUAAGUGACAAAGUGCAAGGAUAUUGGGUCUUUGUAUUUGAAUUUUAUGUCCCUUUUUUAUUGGAAGUUAAAAAAUAAAUAAAUAGUGAUAUUAGUAAAAUGAUGAACAUAAUGAUAUAUGAGUGAUAUUAGAAUUAAUUACUUUUACGGGAAAUACAUUUUUUUUUAAUUUUCCUUUACCGAAAUAAGUAUAAGUAUAUAAGUAUAUAUACAUGUAGGAUUAGAAAAGGCAUUUGCAAUGUGUUUGUGAUAAAUGUAUCAACAGGAUCAACUUGUUUUUAAAUGUAAUGAAAAUUACUUACAUGACCAAUUUUCUUUAUUGUGAUUAAUGUUGUACAUCUCUUGCGUGACAAUUCUAUCAAUAUUUUAUUGGUAAUUACCUGCAUUGCACAAAAAAUCAACUGCAUUAGACUUUUUUCAUGUUUUGCAUAGAUUGUUAAUGUUAUUUUAUUUUUAUUUUUUUUUACAACACCUUCCUGGACCAUGGACGGGGAAAAAGUGGCGAAGAAGAGGAAGUGGAAGAGGAGAGUUAAAAGUAAGAAAGGAAAGGACAGUACCCAGUGAAAGGAGAAAUCAUGCGUUCGAGUCCCUGAGGAUGGCUGAGGUCUGGAAGGGCAUCCGGGAGUGAAGGCGAACACCCAGUAAAAGGACUAGAUGGGACGAGGUUGAGAAACAUCCAGGGGAGACCUCGAAAGGAGUUCCGAAACCAUUACACGAAAUUGGCAUCACAGUUAGCGAGGGUUCUCUGCUGGUCAAGAUUGCGUGGUUCGCGAUACCGCUGUUAGUCGUUAUCUUGGGAAUCAAGGUGGAUACGAGCAUUGCAUUUUGCCGUUUCUGCAACCUCUGCUGAGACUUCGCUGAACAAGAGCCAAAGUAAGAACUGACACAAUAUCUCGGUUCUUGGUUUAGGAUUAUGGCAUUCGUAUGUAGUAUGUGAGAGUUUAUUAAUAUGUUCACACACAGACACACACACACACACACACAUGAAUAUUUACAUACACACACAUACAUAAAUAUAUACAUAUAUGUGUAUACAUAUACAUACAUAUAUUUGCUUGUUAAGCUGCUUGAUUUAGUGUACGGCUUUGAGAGAGAGAGAGAGAGAGAGAGAGAGAGAGAGAGAGAGAGAGAGAGAGAGAGAGAGAGAGAGAGAAAAUUAAAUGACUUUAUGCUUAUUUUUCUUCUUUGAGGAAAAAAAAGCUAUAAAGUAAAAUAUUACUAAAAAUAUUACUUAUUCCUAAGUGUAGCUUAUUCAAUAAAAACAUAGCUGUAUAUAUAUUAUUUGUUAUUAUAUGUCCUGUCCUAUCUAUUGUCUUUAAAUCAAUCUGUCUUUCCUCAGAAACAUUUUUGAUAUACAUUGCAUAUCAGAUUGUAUAUAUCUAUUCAAAGACACACAUAAUAGGCACUUAUAGAUGCACUGCCAUACACAUGAACACACACACACAAAACAAACACACACACACACAAACAACAAUAAAUCAACCUACAAACAGACAGCAGAGGAUCAACAGUAAGAACAGAAAUGAUAACAAACGCAAAUGAUGUGAUGAUAUUAUGUCAUCAAGAUAAUUAAUGAUCGCCAUAUUGCCAUCCUUAAAAAACAAAAACAAAAACAAAAAAACACACCUUUAUCUCACGUACAAGUAAGUGACAAUGUGCAAGGAUAUUGGGUCCCUUUUUAUUGGAAGUAAAAAAAAUAAAUAAUUAGUGAUAUUAGUAAAAUGGUGAACAUAAUGAUAUAUGAGUGAUAUUAGAAUUAGUUGCUUUUACGGGAAAUAUAGAUUUUUUAUUUUCUUUUACCGAAAUAUAUAUAAGUAUAUACACAUAUAGGAUUAGGAAAGGCAUUUGCAAUGUGCCUGUGAUAAAUGUAUCUGCAGGAUCAACUUGUUUUUUAAUGUAAUGAAAAUUACUUACGUGAGCAAUUUUCUUUAUUGCAAUUAAUGUUAUACAUCUCUUGCGUGACAAUCCAAUCAAUAAUUUAUUGGUAGUUACCUGCAUUGCACAAAAAAUCAACUGCAUUAGAUUUUUUUCAUUUUUUGUAUAAAUUGUUAAUGUUAUUGUUUUUUUUUGUUUUUUUUUGCAACACGUUCCUGGAUCAUGGACGGGGAAAAAGUGGCGAAGAAGAGGAAGUGGAAGAGGAGAGUUAAAAGUAAGAGAGAAAGGAAAGGACAGUACCCAGUGAAAGGAGAAAUCAUGUGUUCGAGUCCCUGAGGAUGGCGUCUGGAAGGGCAUCCAGGAGGGAAGGCGAACACCCAGUGAUUGGAGAGGGGACGAAAUCAUGCAUUCGAGUCCCUGAGGAUGGCUGGCGUCUGGAAGGGCAUCCGGGAGGGAAGGCGAACACCCAGU